rnacentral:misc_RNA from 1 species
CUAAUGGUUCACAAAAGCAUGAUAACAUUUUUAGAAAAACUUUAUGCAGCUGGAAGCCUAACAUGCAUAUCAACAUGGUGUUUGAGAUCCAUAUCAUUAUCUAACCCAACAUUUUCUAACCAACUCACAAAUUUCCUACUGAAGCUAAAAUAUAGAGAAUUAACAAGAAGCUUAUAUCCCUAGGAAAAUCAGGUCUUAAGAACAAUGUGGACAAUUCUUCCUUUGAUAUGUUCAAACAUUUAAGGGAAAAGCCUUCAGUAAACAUCCAAUUCAACAAGCUAAACAAAACAAUAUAAAUAAAAAUUGGAAUUAGAAGU